AUUGAACGCUGGCGGCGUGCUUUACACAUGCAAGUCGAACGGUAACAGGUUAAGCUGACGAGUGGCGAACGGGUGAGUAAUGCAUCGGAACGUGCCCGAUCGUGGGGGAUAACGCAGCGAAAGCUGCGCUAAUACCGCAUACGAUCUGAGGAUGAAAGCGGGGGACCGUAAGGCCUCGCGCGAUCGGAGCGGCCGAUGUCAGAUUAGGUAGUUGGUGGGGUAAAGGCCCACCAAGCCGACGAUCUGUAGCUGGUCUGAGAGGACGACCAGCCACACUGGGACUGAGCAACGGCCCAGACUCCUACGGGAGGCAGCAGUGGGGAAUUUUGGACAAUGGGCGAAAGCCUGAUCCAGCAAUGCCGCGGGCAGGAAGAAGGCCUUCGGGUUGUAAACUGCUUUUGUACGGAGCGAAAAGGUCCUUUCUAAUACAAGGGGCUCAUGACGGUACCGUAAGAAUAAGCACCGGCUAACUACGUGCCAGCCGCCGCCGUAA
rnacentral:rRNA from 1 species